rnacentral:rRNA from 1 species
UACUACUUGGAUAACCGUGGUAAUUCUAGAGCUAAUACAUGCUGAAAAUCCCGACUUCGGAAGGGAUGUGUUUAUUAGAUAAAAAACCAAUGCCCUUCGGGGCUUUUUGGUGAUUCAUGAUAACUUUACGGAUCGCAUAGCCUUGCGCUGGCGACGGUUCAUUCAAAUUUCUGCCCUAUCAACUUUCGAUGGUAAGGUAUUGGCUUACCAUGGUUUCAACGGGUAACGGGGAAUUAGGGUUCGAUUCCGGAGAGGGAGCCUGAGAAACGGCUACCACAUCCAAGGAAGGCAGCAGGCGCGCAAAUUACCCAAUCCCGACACGGGGAGGUAGUGACAAUAAAUACUGAUACAGGGCUCUUUUGGGUCUUGUAAUUGGAAUGAGUACAAUUUAAACCUCUUAACGAGGAACAAUUGGAGGGCAAGUCUGGUGCCAGCAGCCGCGGUAAUUCCAGCUCCAAUAGCGUAUAUUAAAGUUGUUGCAGUUAAAAAGCUCGUAGUUGAAACUUGGGCCUGGCUGGCGGGUCCGCCUCACCGCGUGCACUCGUCCGGCCGGGCCUUCCUUCUGAAGAACCUCAUGCCCUUCACUGGGCGUGUUGGGGAAUCAGGACUUUUACUUUGAAAAAAUUAGAGUGUUCAAAGCAGGCCUUUGCUCGAAUACGUUAGCAUGGAAUAAUAAAAUAGGGCGUGCGUUUCUAUUUUGUUGGUUUCUAGAGACGCCGCAAUGAUUAACAGGAACAGUCGGGGGCAUCAGUAUUCAGUUGUCAGAGGUGAAAUUCUUGGAUUUACUGAAGACUAACUACUGCGAAAGCAUUUGCCAAGGAUGUUUUCAUUAAUCAGUGAACGAAAGUUAGGGGAUCGAAGACGAUCAGAUACCGUCGUAGUCUUAACCGUAAACUAUGCCGACUAGGGAUCGGGCGAUGUUCUUUUUCUGACUCGCUCGGCACCUUACGAGAAAUCAAAGUUUUUGGUUCUG